CGUGUCUUUGCUCCUCCUUCACCUUCCGCCAUGAUUGUGAGGCUUCCCCAGCCAUGUGGAAACAUAUUCGCAGAGCACCCACUAGGUGCCAGUAAAUGUAUGAGAAGUCCUGUGGAAUAAGACUGAAGUUGUCCUUGCCUUCAAGCAACUUGCAAUUGCCUAAGAACACAGUUUAAAACCACAAAACUAAGCCUUGGAAAUCACAUGCUGUCAUUUCUGCGAUCGGUCAUAACCAGUCCUGAUUCCAUGUUAGAGGAGACUACAUAAGGACACAGGUACCAGAAGAAACUUCUAAGUGCUGCUGUAUUUCACCAAGCUCCAGUUGAUAUCCAAAUUGGACAACUCCUGUGUGCCAGGACAAUGUGCUAGGCUUGCUUUAAAAUGAUACAUACAAAUAAGAUAAAGCAAAGAGACUUGGCUUUAACAUUCAGUAAAACAAUAAUGUGUUUCUUAAUAAUAAACAUUUGCACGUAAAUGCGUCCCAUUUUAAGAAAAAGAUACUUUACCUAUGCUGUUUGUAAGUUAUGUUUCCUUAUAAAUUCUAUUUUCUUAGCAACUCUCUCUAGUUUCAGAGAUGUCUUUCUACUUCCCCUUUGUUUCUCGUGGUGAAUAGCAAUAAAUCAGCUUCAUGCUUAUUGCCAUGAUGAUAAAUCUGCAUGAGUAUAAAAGGAAUUGAGGACAUGUACGUUAUAGAAUUGUACUGAUAUGUACUUUUUAAAUUAUUUAUUUAUUUAUUUAUUUUUUGAGGCAGAGUCUCACUCUGUCGCCCAGGCUGGAGUUCAGUGGCAUGAUUUUGGCUCACCGCAACCUCUACCUCCCGGGUUCAAGCAAUUCUCCUCCCUCAGCCUUCCAAGUAGCUGGGAUUACAGCAUCCACCACCACGCCUAGCUAAUUUUUGUAUUUUUAGAAGAGAAAGGGUUUCACUAUGUUGGCCAGGCUGGUCUUGAAUACCUGACCUCAGGUGAUCCACCCACCUUGGCCUCCCAAAGUGCUAGGAUUACAGGCGUGAGCCACUGCGUCCAGCCCUGAUAUGUACUUUAUAUGAACAUAUUCAUUCAUUUAAAAAUUAUUAUUGAAUACCUACUAGUUGCUUAUCAUUUUAUAAAGUAUAGGACAUAGAGCCUGCCGUCAGUGAACUUCUAAUCAUGUGGGAAAUGCAGACAAUAAACAAAUGAUGCAAAAUUUAUAUUUAACUUAUAAAUAUAAAAAAAGUAUGUUUUAGUGUAUAUAAUGUGUCAGUUUUUGAGUGUUAAAUUUGACAGUGAAUGAAAUUGACAUAGCAUACUUAUAGACAUCUGAUUGAACCUUU
rnacentral:lncRNA from 1 species